GAAGCAUCUACCCCUUCUUCGGCCGUAACGAGCAAAACUUCAUCGAUAAGUUCAAGCCGUGGUACUGCACCCACAGUCCGAAUCACAAGUAAUACGACUUCUCAGCCACCCGUACGUUCGAAGAAUUGUAA